CCCCUUUGCAGUCCACUAAUCCACUGGCUCCCCUCUCUCCCUCUCCUGUCAUCACAUUGCAGAAAAGAAGGAAGGCACAGUAUUUCAGAGCAGCACAUUUAAGAUUAGAGAAAUACUUUCGAUUCUCUUUUCCUCAUAUGGGUGGAGCCCUCCCUAGUGAGUUAGUAAUACUCAGGCUGACUUCCUGCUCUCAGCUGUGGGCCACAACUCAGGGACUGGAAGCCUGUGAGAAGACCAAGGAUCAGAGCUCACCCUUCCAUGACCCUGGCAGGACCUGGGAGACAGAAGGUGGCAGCUUCAGCAACAGGAUGUCCACAGCACACGAGAACACAGAAUCUAUAUUCCAGCUCUUCAGAGUACUUAAAUUGGACAUUUCAGAUGCAAUAAAAGAUUUAUUUCCUUUUCUGGAUGUCCUCUGUGACAACAAUGUCAUCAGCGAUAAACAGUAUGAAGGUUCUUCUGUGACCUGGAAGUCUGCACUUAAAUUUUCUCCAUUAAAUAUCUUUAAAGGAUUAUCAAGAAUCCUGUACAAACCUGAUCCCUGUGCAAAAAGUGGUCUACAAAGUCUUGAAAGGACUGGAAGAGAAACAUGACAGGAGGCUCUAAGGUUAUUGUUCUGUAAGCAAAAUAUGGAGGCAUACCCUGAUUUGGAACACAUUUUUAAAAGAUUUAAAAAUGUCUUACCACAGGAUGAACUGCAUUUGGAAGAAAUUGAUAGAGGGGACCUGAACUCACAGCUCAGUCUUGAACAAGGCACAGCAUCUACCACAUCCACCAAUGAAGAGGGACAGAGGGAAAACCCAACAAACCCAGAGUGAACAAAGAAAAACAUAACUGCCCCAUGACCUUCUGCCAUGAUGUCUGAGGCCCUCAUCUGCCAAUUGUUAGUUGUUCAUUUCUACCAUGUUAUAGUUUGUUAAAUUUACUGAUGAAAAUAAAAAUGGAUUUUAUUAUAUGA